AACGAACGCUGGCGGCAUGCCUAACACAUGCAAGUCGAACGAGACCUUCGGGUCUAGUGGCGCACGGGUGCGUAACGCGUGGGAACCUGCCCUUAGGUUCGGAAUAACUCCCCGAAAGGGGUGCUAAUACCGGAUAAUGUCUUCGGACCAAAGAUUUAUCGCCUUUGGAUGGGCCCGCGUUGGAUUAGCUAGUUGGUAGGGUAAAAGCCUACCAAGGCGACGAUCCAUAGCUGGUCUUAGAGGAUAAUCAGCCACACUGGGACUGAGACACGGACCAGACUGCUACGGGAGGCAGCAGUAGGGAAUAUUGGACAAUGGGCGAAAGCCUGAUCCAGCAAUGCCGCGUGAGUGAUGAAGGCCUUAUGGUUGUAAAGCUCUUUUACCCGGGAUGAUAAUGACAGUACCGGAAGAAUAAGCUCCGGCUAACUCCGUG
rnacentral:rRNA from 1 species